rnacentral:lncRNA from 1 species
UCUGCCCCCACGCAUGAUGAACUGAUGUUCAGUUCUAAGCCUUCUUUUUCUUCCUUCUUUAAAUUUAAUACCACAUGUGCCACAACUUUUUCCCCUUUUUGAUCCCAUGAAAUUGGUGCACUUUGUCUUUCCAAUCCCUUGGAGGUCCCAGUAAGAGCAGGAAAAUUCAAAGGAUUUUGGUCAACCAAUUAGAGAAAAAAAAUGAUAAUUUUUAUAAAGGGUACUAGUAUGAAGCUGUAAAUCUCACUCCUCAGUCAAUUUCUUUAGUUUAACAGCAAAGAACAUUAUGCUAUGAUGAUAUCCAAGGCUAGUUAAUGGUCAUCACUUUAAAAUUAUAUAUACAUAGUAGGUACCCUUAAUUAGAUACAAUGUGCACUAGCAAAUACAAUUGACUAAUACAAUGUCCUUUCUUGAUAAAGUUUGGUUCAAAACAAUAUUUUUAGCUAGAUGGCAUGGUGCCAGCUUGUCAUUCCAGCAUUCAGAAGCUAAACCAGGAGGACCAUGGGUUCAAGGACAAACUGAAGUAAACAGUGAGACUCUGUCUCAAAACAAUAACAAAAGUCAUUACCAUGAGACUGGGGCAGUUAUAUUCACCAAUAAAAAAAUCUUGGUUAAUGGAAGAAUUAUCUUUGGGAGUCAGAGAGGAAGCUGGAAGAAAAAUUGAAAAGAAUGUUGCCUUGGGGAAACAACUGUCCAAAAUUGUUAUCUUCCAACAGAAAAGCAAAAAGGAAGACAAGAAGAAGCAAGGAAGAAAGGAGGGAG